rnacentral:misc_RNA from 1 species
UCCGCCUUGGAGGCGGCAGUCUCCUAUGAAAAAACAACAUAGGACGAGGGUUGCGCUCGUUCGCUGACUUAACAGUACACCUCAAGGCACGAGCUGACGACGACCGUGCAUCACCUGUCUCCGAGUUCCUUGCGGCACUUCACCGUUUCCGGCGAAUUCUCGGGAUGUCAAGCCUGGGUGAGGUUCUACGCUUAUUGACGAAUUAAACCCCAUGCUCCACCGCUUGUGUGGGUCCCCGUCUAUUCCUUUGAGUUUUAGCCUUGCGGCCGUACUUCCCAGGCGGCGUGCUUACCGCGUUAGCUUAGGGCACUGGAACCGAUUGAAAAGUUCCAACACCGAGCACGCAUCGUUUAGGGCGUGGACUAC